rnacentral:rRNA from 1 species
UACGUAGGGGGCUAGCGUUGUCCGGAAUCAUUGGGCGUAAAGAGCGCGUAGGCGGCCAGAUAAGUCCGGUGUGAAAGUCAAAGGCUCAACCUUUGAAUGCCGCUGGAAACUGUCUGGCUAGAGUCCGGGAGGGGCGAGUGGAAUUCCUGGUGUAGCGGUGAAAUGCGCAGAUAUCAGGAGGAACACCUAUGGCGAAGGCAGCUCGCUGGGACGGUACUGACGCUGAGGCGCGAAAGCGUGGGGAGCAAACAGG